GGCCCCGUCGUCUAGCCUGGUCCAGGACUCCAGGUUUUCAUCCUGGCAACGCGGGUUCAAAUCCCGCCGGGGUCA
rnacentral:tRNA from 1 species